CCCCGCCGGUGUACGGCACCGCGCCCCCCGCGCCCCCCGCGCCGCCCCCGCCCGGCGCGCACGCCACCCCGCCGCCCCUCCCGCCGCGCCCCGCCCCGCCCCCCGAGCUGCUGCGCCCCGCCCACUCCACCAUCCUGCAGCGCCGACACAACACCGGCGCCCCCCGCCUACCGCCGAAGCCGGCCGCCAACAGCGCGGCGCGGACGUAGCAACGACACAAACACACUGCUACUCUAUAGAUAUACCACACAAACACUAUACAUAAACAAACAAACUAAUAUACAAAUAAAUAUUCACACAGAAUUCACUGAAGAAAUUACUUCAAUUUCUGAAGUUUUUACCUUUAACUAGAGUAUUUAUUUCUUGUAUAUAUUAAGAGGGGAAAAUUUUUGGCUAUUUUAGCGAAAUUUCUCCGUCUAAUUGGUGAAAUUUCGCCUAAAUAAAUUAAUAUUGUCGUCCGAUAAUCGUUCUAAUUGAUAACGAUUAUCGAACGAAUCGUCGUCCGAUUAUCGGCUACGGCGGCUGUUCUCAUGUAAGGAGAUCAGCCAGCUGCGCAGGACAUAUUGUUGUUUCGCGGACAUUUUAGAAAUGUUCGCACGCAAUGUGUUACUGUUCGCUAGAGCGAAGUGACAUCUCCCCUUAACAUAUACAGGAAUUAUCUGGUCAAAGUUAAAAAAAAAUACAAAAAAUGAAUUGUUUUAUUUACAGAUGGUAUAUUUUUGACAUCCAUUCUUUAAAGUGGUAUUUUGAGCCGAAUGCCACCUCAUAACUUAGUAGUUAUACUAUAAUACUAUAGUUUUAUAAGUCUAUUUUAUAAUGCGGGCAACUUUAGCAACUCCUAUGGUGUUGUGUUCAUGGGGGUGAUAGUCGCCUCCCAUGCUCGUUUGCCCCUAUAAGAUAGAAAAAAAUCACGUCAACUAUCUACUGUCUGUAAGUUAAACGAGUCAUUUCUUGUGUCAAUAUGGCUACUGUGGAAUAAAAUGCGGGCUCCACAUAUACCGAGAAUCCCCGUGAAUUAAAAUGUCGAUGGUUUUCGCGGGUGUUCUUGUGUAUUCAAGCCCCGGGAGAUUUCCAUAAGAUUCCCGGGAAACCGGCGUCUGGAGCCGCCAUAAUAUAUCGGCGGUUUUUAGUCUAUAUUAUAGAAAAAACUUAGCUGUUUUUAUCCCUGGUCAAAUCUAUGCUGUGUGAGUAUUUAUCGACCUAUCUGAAUAGGUCUUGCCUAUGUAAACAUAUUGUACAUUGUAGACAUUCCAAAAAACGACGUAUAUUUAAUAACGGUUAAACUUCAAUAAUUACUGCGCCCACAUUACCCGGCCAAUCUUGAUACUAGCCUAGAAAGUGUGGCUAUUAUGAACUUUGCCCGGGCACUGUGGACUUUAACUGUAGACUUUACGUGUCGUUGAUAAUACAUAAAUAUUAUAUAAAAUGUAUGUACUCGCGUGUGGUCGCAGACAGACCCGGGUGCUUCCACUAUAUUCACGAUUAGUCAAUGCUUAUACAGUGUAAAUAAAUUAUAUAAGAAAUGGCUUUUAUUUUCAAAGAGUAAAAAUAUACUUCGUAAGAGUAGGCACUUAGUAAGGAUACACAAUCUUGAUAUGAUUUCUUAUUUAAAAUUAAAAUUCGCCUAAAAACCCUUGUAAAUACUAUAAUAAAAACUGUUUAAACAAUUGAAUGAUUAUUAUUUUAAGCAGUAUUGUGAAAUACCUAUUUGUGUAAACAGUUAUAUCAAGGAUGUUUACCUUAAGUUAUACCUACUCUAAUAGAGUAUAAUAAUUUCGCACAAAUCUUAUAUAUUUUACAAUAGAAAUAAUGUCUGCGAUCACACGAUAUAUAUAAAAAACAAUAAUUUUAUAUGAAAAUACGAAAUUAUUGCGUGCAGUGCCAACACAUAGUGAAAACAUAAUAUUAUAGAAAAUAUUAAAUAAGCAAACGAAACAGUUUGCUAAAUAUAUAUUAUGUAUACAUACUAGUAUAAUUUAUGUAUUGUAUUUAAUAAAAAUAUUCCGCUUCACCAGUUGGGUAGGAUGCCAUUGAAAAUGGGCGUGGCUUAACAUUAAACAAAAAAAAAAUAAAAAAAAAAUCAUCUUGGUUUGGUAACAAGAAAAAGUUAGUUUUUUUUUUCAAAAAUGUUACUGUUUUAAUUUUUAAUGUAAAAAAAUGUUACUUUCUUUUAACCACGCCUAAUUUUCUAAGCGUCUUAUUCACCUAUCUAUACUGAAAAAAAAAAAACCUAUUUGUAAGCGAAACCUCUCAAAUUGUGUUAGAGUAGGCAGCGUGAUGUUUCUCAAACAUUUAUAUACAUACAUGUAUAUAAUACGUGUUUAUGAAUUAGCUCGCCAUAUGACGGUACGAUAAGUAGACUGCACGCUAUCGGUAAUUGACGAUUCCUUGCAGCUUCCACCACGAUCCACGAUAAACUGUAGGUACCGGCUGUCAUUGAAUAUCCUUGGCAGUCGUUACGGGUAGUCAGAAGCCGGUAAGUGUGACACUCGUCUUACCAAAUGAGGUAUUGUGUUGUCCAGGUAACUGGAUUGAGGAGGUCAGAUAGGCAGUCGCUCCUUGUAAAUAGUGGAAACUACUCGGCAAGUGAUAGUAGAGGGCUCUUAUCACUGCUACAGUAGUUUCUGAAACUAGUUUCUUUAGCUUUAUAAUAUUUCUAUGGAUUUGUUCAUAUGGAACACUGGUACUCAGCCGCAUCUGGUUAGACUGGAAGCCGACCCCAACAUAGUUGGGAAAUGGCUCGAGAGAUGAUGAUGUUUUGAUGGCUACACGGAAGAUGCAAGCAGUCCUCAAUUGUCGAUUACGUGCGUCUUGAAUAACGGGCCUAAUUGGCGAUACCUUCAAUAUUGCAUACUAUUCCCUCUUAUUUAUAAUAAAGUAAUUCUCUUAAUAAACUUAUUCUUAACUCCCUUUCUAUCAAGUGAGGAAUUUAUUUGAUAGAAAAGGACAGUGUGUUUAUUAAAUGAAGGACUUUUUGUAUAAGAGGGCUUAUAUUUAAGCGCAAAUACACUGGAGUCGGAAUUGUUUUAUGUGAAAAGUACAAUUUUUGCCUAAAACUUAAAUUAAUCUGCCUCUAUAAAAUAUAUAGACAUCCAAUUUAUUCCCAUCGUUUAAUUGAUAACCUCCUUUUUGGGAAGUCGGUUAAAUACCAGUUACUAGGUAUAUAAAAAUACUUUUAAGUGUGGCUAUGUAAAAUGAUUCCAUCUCCAGCCAGCACGGAACUGAUAACUAUGACAACCUUGCAUUUAUGUGUACAUACUAAAUAUAUGCGUCUAGUGAUCGUGUGACACGGAACUGCUGCACCAAAGCCGGUGAAACGCAACCCAAUGCAUAGACCACGAAUUCCUUUAAAUAUUUUUUACAUCACCGGGUUCGGUUCAGCAGUUUCUAAAUAUAAUAUUAAUGACAAAUGCUCUUAGGUAUAAUUAUUAUUAUUAUAUAUUGUUUAAAAAAACUGUUAAAUCAACAAUAAAUUCCUAAUGUGUUGCCAUAGUAAAAUAAUAUUUGAGAAUAUUAUUAUUAUACAAUGUUAUUAUUAGUGGAUAUUAUGUGAAAUUACCGGUCAAUGUACUAUACUAUUUUACACUUUGACCGGUUAAUGUUGUUAAAAACCUUAUCUUCAGCAGCAGUGAUUAAUAUAAUGAAUGAAAUAUAUAAACAGAAACAAUUGUAUAUUUAAAGAGAAUGUAAAAUAAAUGUCAAUGUUCUAGCGAAAUUGAAAUAUAAAGUGUACAGUUAGCUUGUAAGAGAGAUACAAUAAAUGUAUAUUAUUAUAUUAUAUAUAUGUAGAACGCAGAUUACCCGCUGUGUGGCUAAAGUUGAUAUUAGCCAAUGUAUUAUGGUGCUUAUGUGUCGGAAUUAGAACUGUCACCUUGCCGGUAAAUAUUAUUUCUUAAGUCUGACACCAGUCUUUCCUAAGGGCCCUGGGCAAGGCUGGUGUCAGACUUAUUGUCAGUCUGUCAACCUAAUACGCUUAGGCUAGGGUCGAGGAGGUCAGAUAGGUAGUCGCUCCUUGGUACUACCACUAGGUAGUCGGAACUACUCCGCAAGUGAUAGUAGAGGGCUCUUAUCACUGCUACAGUAGUUCCUAAGAUUAGACCGUUCAAAACAAACAAAAAACUAUCGAUUUCUUCAUAAUACAUAGAUUAUAUAUAGAAGUCUAAGUGUCGAAUAGAAGACAAAAUUAUUUAUGAAGAAAUCUAUUUAUUCUCGAUAUAUUUUUAUUAUAUUCGGUGACAGUUCAAUUUCAUACGACUUUCCAUCGUAAGCACAAGAUAGUCUUGUGCCUCAAUAGGGAAGCGAACCCGCACCAAUAAUACGGCUUGCUACAAAAGCUUGCAGUCCGGACUAUUAGUGUAUAUGUAAGCCCACGUUUACGAACGACUUUCGUUUUUUUUUUUGAAGUUUGAAGUCAAGACUUUCGUUUUUAUACGGUAUUGGAAAUGCAUUGAUUUUCUGAUCUGAAAUUUGAAAUUACUUAAUGAAAUCCGAAAUGAGAACCUACUCCUUUUUUGGGAAGUCGGUUUAAAAUGAGUAGUAGAGAACUAUUUUGAAUUAAAUUCAAAACUAGAGAAGUUUUGAAAGAAUCAAAAUAGAUGAAUUUUCUAGUUUCACCCGCGUCCCGUGGGAACUACUUCGCAAGUGAUGACAGAGGGCUCUCUAUCGCUGGUGCAGUAGUUCCUGAGAUUGGUACGUUUGAACAAACAAACAAGCCAAACUCUUCAUUCUUUUUGGGAAGUCGGUUGAAAAUCAGUAAAAUGUUAUCCAGCUUAAGCUUCAUGUUUUUUCAUGGUGCCAAUAUUAGGUUUUCUUAUUUACAAUUUUAUAUACACACUACAGAUUAUAAAAUAUUUUCUUAAAGUCGUUCGGGAACGCGUGCCUUUAGUUACAAAAAUGUCAAACAAAAAGUGUAAGAUAGCUGAAAAUUUGUACAUAAUAUACAUAAAUACAUUUAUAUAUAAAUAUAUAGUAAACUAGUAGAUCACAAAAGGGGUGGGACUAAGACCACUGAUGUAGUACAAAAAUAUAUAAAAACAAAGCAAUUUCAACUUUAAAUGUAUGAAAAUAAAGUCCAAUUUUAAAACUGCGAUAUUUUAAAGCGAUUUCACUAAAAUAUGGAUUUGAAUAUAAUGACGUAGGUACAAAUUAUAUUUGUGUAUAAGAUUUCAAUGUCUUUUAUGCUUAAAUAUUAACUAAAUCGCUUUAGAAUAGAGCUUGACAUGUGUAUGUACGAUAAGUAAAUACAGGAGUUCAAAUAUUGUAGCAAAAGCGAAACGCCUACUUAUAUUAUGAUUUAUUUUCAAUAGAGAAACAUGUUAUAUAUUACCACUUAAAAAGUUAAUAAAUACGCAAAAAACUGAGAACCUGCUUUUUUCGACGUCGGUUAAAGAUUGAAUAUAUGAAAAUAAUAAUUCGCUUUUGCCACAACUUAAAAUAUUCACAAAAAUAAUAACAAACGCCCACCCCAGACCUAAAUAAAAUAUAUAUAUAAAUAAUAAAAAGUAGAGUUUGUCGUUAUCUGGCCUAAUCGCUAGGUAUAUAUAUAAAGUAUGCGUGACGCGCUAGUUCUAAGUGAUGACCACCUGUGAAUAUUAUUGUACAUAUUAUAUUAAAUGAAUAGCAAUUCAUAUAUACAGUUAA